CACGUAGGCGGACCAUUAAGUCGGGGUGAAAUCCCGGGGCUCAACCCCGGAACUGCCUUCGAUACUGGUGGUCUGGAGGUCGAGAGAGGCGAGUGGAAUUCCGAGUGUAGAGGUGAAAUUCGUAGAUAUUCGGAGGAACACCAGUGGCGAAGGCGGCUCGCUGGCUCGAUACUGACGCUGAGGUGCGAAAGCGUGGGGAGCAAACA
rnacentral:rRNA from 1 species